rnacentral:rRNA from 1 species
GACGAACGCUGGCGGCGUGCUUAACACAUGCAAGUCGAACGGAAAGGCCCUGCUUUUGUGGGGUGCUCGAGUGGCGAACGGGUGAGUAACACGUGAGUAACCUGUCCUUGACUUUGGGAUAACUUCAGGAAACUGGGGCUAAUACCGGAUAGGAGCUCCUGCUGAAUGGUGGGGGUUGGAAAGUUUCGGCGGUUGGGGAUGGACUCGCGGCUUAGCAGCUUGUUGGUGGGGUAGUGGCUUACCAAGGCUUUGACGGGUAGCCGGCCUGAGAGGGUGACCGGCCACAUUGGGACUGAGAUACGGCCCAGACUCCUACUGGAGGCAGCAGUGGGGAAUAUUGCACAAUGGGCGGAAGCCUGAUGCAGCAACGCCGCGUGCGGGAUGACGGCCUUCGGGUUGUAAACCGCUUUCGCCUGUGACGAAGCGUGAGUGACGGUAAUGGGUAAAGAAGCACCGGCUAACUACGUG